CCACGCCCUCUGCUCCGCCCACCUCGCCGCUCCAUCCUGCUCCGCCCUCAGCCCGCCCCGCCCCGAAGCCACGCCCUGCCGGGAGCUUUCCCGUGGGCAACCGAAACUCGGCUCGUGGUUUCGCAGUCCUGGAACGGCCGGUACCCGCAUAGACCGUCCCCUCUCGGUGCUGGCUCUGGCUCCUGGGGUGAGUGUCCCAGUCGGCGCUACCCCGCCCUCGCUCGUCGCCUCAGCGACCACGGCCUUUCCAGGAGGCGAGGCCGCCAGCCAUAGCGCCCUCGCUGGGUGGGCGUCCAGGCGGGGCUUCGGAGUGGGCGGGGCUCCGGCUCUAGGCAGGCUGCUAACGGUGGAAGUGUAUUUGUUUUUCAGAGAUGAUGGGAUCUAAAUUUUCUUUAUACCACUUCACACCCAUUAGGAUGGCUACUAGCAAAACCCCCAGAAAUUAGUGGUGGCGAAGAUGUAGAGAUAAUUGAAGCCCUUGUAUAUUGCUGUUGGGAAUGUAAAAUGGUGCAGCCACUGUGAUGAACAGUACUGCGGUUCCUCAAAAAGUCAGUUAUAUGAUCCAGCAUUUUCUUUCCCGGGUAUAUAACCCAAAAUAAUUUAAAACAGGGUGUACAAGAAGAAAUCUUUUUACACUCAUGUUGACAGCGGCACUAUUCAAGAUAGCCAAAAGGGUGGAAGCAAUUUAAAUGUCCAAAAACAGAUACUUGGAUAAGCAAAAUGUUGUCUGUGCAUGCAAGGGAACAUGUUUUAGCCUGAACAAAGAACGAAAUUCUGACACAUGGUACUACAUGGAUGAACCUGGAGGACGCUAUGCUGAGGGAGAUCUUAUCAUAAAACCUAUGGAAAAAAAUCGAGGAUGUUUGCAUAGGACGUUUUUGGAGAAUUUGGCCUUUUGAAAGAAAAUGUAACUAAGCUUUGUGGUUAUGAAAGCUUCCUCUACCUGAGUUGAUUUCAAGAUCUCCAGGACACCUGUGGGUAUCAUUGGUGGAUGCUGUUCAGGUGGUUAAGGUGAUGUUGGUCCUCCUGAUGUCCUGACAGUCCAAACAGGCGCACCUGAACUUCCCCUGAUCCUGCAGAAUGCCUCACCAAACACGUGCACCUGAACUUCCCCUGAUCCUGCAGAAUGCCUCACCAAACACGUGCACUUGAACUUCCCGAUCCUGCAGAAUGCCUCACCAAACAGGCGCACCUGAACUCCCCCUGAUCCUGCAGAAUGCCUCAUGUCCCCAGUGAUUUCUCUCUCAUCUCAGAAGCUAACCAGGGUUAGGCCUGGUUAGUACUUGGAUGGGAGACCAAAGACUUAUUUCCCAAUCAAAAUGUUUACUUCAAACAGCUGAUCUUCUCUAGUUCUGGGGUGGAGAGCAAUCUGAUCAAACUAUAAUACCAUGCAUAUAAGUGAUCACCUCUUCUCCUUCCCAAAGGUAUUUUUCUGAGAUGUUUGUUGGCUUGGCAAUUGUGGGGUGGGAGAAGAAAGUGCAAAAGUGGGAGUAUGUGCCAUAAAGGCAGCCAUAUCCCACCACCCCUCCCCAUACCCUGUGCAAUCUAUGCUCUAGCCGAACCCAGGAAUUUACGGUUCCCCAAAUUUGGCAGUCUCUACGUGGUAUUCUCUCUGCCUGGAACACUUGUUCUCUAAUUCUCUGUUUCAAAACGUCUACUUGUCCUUCACAUUGGAAGCCUUUCCUGUCUAUUCCAGGCUGAGUGGGUGCCUCUCAUGUGUACUCCCAGAGCAGACAAUGAGUAUGUCUAUCAAAACACCAUCAGCUGGGAGCGGUGGCUCAUGCCUGUAAUCUCAGCACUUUGGGAGGCCAAGGCUGUCAGAUCUCGAGGUCAGGAGUUCGAGACCAGCCUGACCAACAUGGUGAAACCUUGUCUCUACUAAAAAUAAAAAAAUUAGCCAGGCAUGGUGGUAGGCGCCUGUAAUCCCAGCUACUCAAGAGGCUGUGGCAGGAGAAUUGCUUGAACCAGGGAGGUGGAGGUUGCAGUGAGCCAAGAUCGUACCGUUGCACUCCAGCCUGGGCAACAGAGCGAGACUCCUCUCAAAACAAAAAAAAUAUCACCACACAGCUGGGUGCAGUGGCGCAUGCCCAUAGUCCCAGCUACUCAGAAUGCUGAGGUGAGAGGAUCAUUUAAGGCCAGGAGUUCAAGCCUGCAGUGCACUAUGAUUGUGCCACUGCGCUCCAGCCUUGGCAACACAGUGAGACCUUGUUCUAUUAAAAAAGAAAAACCCCAUCACACCAUAACACUCAUUUAGUUAUCUGCCUCCUUUUACUCGCCUGCAUCAUAUUAGCUAUUGAUUCAUGAGCAACUAGCACAAGGCCUUCAUCUUAACAGGCACGUAAGCUUUUAAAAAUGUUUUCAAAUAAUUUGACUUUGGUAAACAAUUUUUAUUUAUGUUUUAAAUCCUAUCCAGUGUUGUUGCUGAUAAUCUUCUAUAUUUAAUUUAAAAUAAAACUUUGUUGAAUGGUA